AUGCACAAUUCUGAUGACAAGUUAACAUGUCCCAUUUGUUACAGUAUUUUUGAAGAUCCUUGUGUACUACCGUGCUCUCAUACAUUUUGUAGAAAUUGUUUGGAAAACGUUCUUCAAGCAUCUGGGAACUUUUAUAUAUGGAGACCUUUACAAAUUCCACUCAAAUGCCCUAAUUGCAGAAGUAUUAUUGAAAUUGCUCCAACUGGUAUUGAAUCUUUACCUGUUAAUUUUGCAUUAAGGGCUAUUUUGAAAAGUACCAGCAAGAAGACCAUCCAGAUAUUGUCAACUGUCCUGAACAUUACAGACAACCAUUAAAUGUUUACUGUCUCCUAGAUUAAAAAAACUAGUUUGUGGUCAUUGCCUUACCAUAGGUCAACAUCAUGGCCAUCCCAUAUAUGAUCUUCAAAGUGCUUAUCUGAAAGAAAAGGACACGCCUCAAAAACUACUUGAACAGUUAACUGACACACACUGGACAGAUCUUACUUGUCUUAUUGAAAAGCUGGAAGAACAGAAAUCUCAUUCAGAAAAAAUGGUCCAAAGUGAUAAGGAAGUUGUUCUACAGUAUUUUAAGGAGCUUAGUGAUACAUUAGAACAGAAAAAAAAAGUUUUCCUAGCUGCUCUCUGUGAUGUUAGCAAUCUGAUUAAUCAGGAAUAUACUCCACAAAUUGAAAGAAUGAAAGAAAUAAGAGAGCAGCAAUUUGAAUUAAUGACACUGACAUCAUCUUUACAGGAAGAGUCUCCACUUAAAUUUCUUGAAAAAGUUGAUGAUAUCCGCCAACACGUGCAGAUUUUGAAACAAAGACCCCUUCCUGAGGUUCAACCUGUUGAAAUUUAUCCUUGAGUAAGCCAAAUAUUGAAAGAAGAUUGGAGAAGAACAGAAAUUGGACAAAUUAAGAAACUUCUCAUUCCUGAAAUGAAAAUUUCUUCAAAGAGGAUGCCAUGUUCCUGGCCUGAUAAAGAUGAAAAAGAAGUUGAAUUUUUUAAGAUUUUAAACAUUGUUAUAGUUACUUUAAUUUCAGUGAUACUGAUGUUGAUCCUCUUUUUUAACCAACACAUAAUGACCUUUUUAAAUGAAAUCACUUCAAUAUGUUUUUCUGAAGUCUCUCUAUCUGUUUAUCAAAGUUUGUCUAACAAUCUGCAUGAUUUAAAGAAUAUGCUAUGUCACACUUUACAUUUAUUGAAGGAAUUCAUGUGGAAAAUAGUUUCUCGUUGA